rnacentral:misc_RNA from 1 species
CAGGAUAUUCGGGAAUUUGAUUUUCCAUAAUUGAGAUGGCACUGUAACGUUUUAAAUUUUCAAUUUUUGGCCACUCAAAUUUUUCACCACCAGCUUGCACAAAAUACACAUCAGAGGUCAUUGAUUUGGCCACAUCACGAAUAACAUCAUGCAUCUUGAUGCAACCUUUCUUGUCACUUGUUAAAAGCAAACAUGAUUCUUUGAGAUUGUUG